rnacentral:lncRNA from 1 species
AAUUUAAUGACCUAUGAGACAGACCUGAUUAUGCUCACUAUGAGGUGAGAAACAUUAUAAAGAGAGAAACCUUGUCCAAUAUUUUUCCUCAUAUUCAUCAAAACAUCUGGUGCUGAUACUCAAGUCAAGACUGAGCAGAGGGGAAUGCAGAAGGAAAACAUGUCUCCAAGGCAGCUGAACAAUGGACUGUAAAGAUGAGAGAUGGAGAAGUACAUUCUUAAAAACAAAAGUCAUGAUAUCUACACCAUAAAUCUAAACAUGACCCGGGAGAAGCUGUUGCUUGCAGCUCUGGCUGUUGUAUUGAGAACCCUGCUGAUGUCAGCAUCAUCUCCUCUAGGAACACAGGCUAGCAAGCAGUGCUGAAGUUUGUUGCCACAACUGAAGGAGGCACUGUAAUUGCAGAUGACUUCAAGCCUGGGGCCUUCACUAACUAGAUCCAAGCAGCCCUCAGGGAGCUACAGCAUCUAGUUAUGACUGGUCCCAGAGCUGAUCCCCAGCCCCUCACAGAAGCAUCUUGUGUCAACCUGCCCAUCAUUUCUCUGUGUAACACAGACUGUCCUCUUCGCUGUACAUCGCCAUCCCAUGCAACAAGGGAGCCCACUUGGUGUAUCUGAUGUGGUGGAUGCUGGCCCAGGAAGUACUCCCCAUGCGUGGAACUAUCUCUAGUGAGCACCCUUAGGAGGUUAUGCCUGAUCUUUACUUCUACAGAGACCAGGAGGAGACUGAGAAGAAGGAGCAGGCUGCUUCUGAGAAGGCUGUGAACACGGAAGAAUUUCAAGGCAAAUGGACCA